GUGUACAAUACAUGCACAUGAACAUAGAUUAGUUCCUAAUUCAGUCGCAUUAGAACCACCGUACUGUCAAUGUGUGUCUUUAUUUAGUGAUUAAAACCUCAAUAUACAGUCCACUAUUUAAACUUAAUUAUGUGGUUUUUAUUUAAACGACCAGCACGCCACAUAAUAUGGUCCAUCUUCGCCUAAAUUAAUAAUUAAUAAAGACAUCAGUGUUGCGGUUCCAUGCGGUGUUCUGUGCGGCUCACAAUAUCAACCGCCAUAUUGCGUAGUGCGGGACUUAAAAUAAAUUGCGUCGUGUGUGUGCGCAAGUGCCACUUCAAUAAGUGACUAUAAACUUUACUGUGAAAAGCUGUGCUUUUUAAAAAACUGUGACCUGUGUUGCUGGUGUUAUUGGUGUCAUAGGACUCAGGCUGUGCUAUUGACAGCAAUUAUAAAAAGGACAUUGUUACCGUGCUGUGCCAUUGACAGUUAUCAGCCACGCAUUGCGUGGUACGAGUAAUAGUGCUACCUAGUGUUAAUCACAACAUACUUACUGUGUUCGGGCUGUUGCUAUUGAGCAGUAUUUUAAUACGAACAUCAGGACUAAACAAACAUAAAUUCAGCCUGCUAUUGAGGCUGGUGCAUAUCAAUCUUCAUAAAUAUCGUCAUUCGAAUAGCAGAGGACAAGGUGAGCUGACUGAGUUCACGGUCAAGGACGGGAGCGGGAACAUACGUCAUCGACUGAUUCACACAACUCCACGAGGCAUCCGCCUUUGACAAAAGGAGCGGGCUAUAUCGUGCUGCAACGGGUAGGAGCGAGACAGCGAGACGUCGCUGUGCGAAGAACCCACCAAUUGCGGACGAGAGCGGCCUCGGUGAACGUUUCCGAUUGGUUCGUGAAUGAAGCAAGUUCGCGACAAUUCAUUCAAUUUCAUUCCUUGACGCGCGACGCGAGCGCCUUUGAACUGUGACUGCUGCGCAUUAACGCCAUUUUGUUUUCUCUGUUCUCUUUACUUAUUACGCAGUGUGCUCAGUCACGUUUUUUUUUUAUUAAAAGUGAAAACUAUAGUCGAAUUGCACAAUAUAACUGUAUUAAUUAAUUUUAAAAGUACGAUUCACAAUGGAAGACGAUUUAAAACGCAUGGUUGCGACCAGAGGUCAAUUUAAAGACCCGAACGACGACGAAAAAAUUGACGAGUAUGAGGAUAAAUACUUGAUAACUUUGGCGGCACUAAAUCAAUGGCUCAAUGAACAUCAGUCAGCAGGUAACAUUGAAGGGCCUAGCCAACCCCCGAAGGUAUCCAGUAUGACUCAUCAGAGUCUUCCACGGAUCGAGAUUGGAAAGUUCAAUGGCCAGGUAGGCAAAUACCACGAUUUUGUAAACUUGUUCAAAAGUAUCAUUGACAAUGACACUAGGCUGUCGCAAUGCGAUAAAUUUUAUUAUUUAAAAACCUUAUUAGAAGGUGAGGCUGCGGAUGUGGUGCAGCAUUUAAGCUUAAAUGCCGAAAAUUAUAAUGUUGCUUUGCAAUUGUUAGCUGAGCGCUAUGAUAAUAAGUUUAGGAUAAUUAACCAUCACA